UCUUCCGGGAGCGCGUGCUGGGGGAGGAGCGGUCGCCGCGCGUUAGUCAGGGAUCGGUGCGGGUCCUGGUUCCAAUUGAGCCUGUGCCAAAUGUGCUCCUGCCACAUCAUCCCCACUUGAGAACACUGCUAUAGAGCUACAAGACUAUAGGUAUUUGGUCUGCUGUUCAAAUUAUUGAAGGUGAAAUGUCAGAUCCAGCUCUGAGGAUUUGAACCAUAGACCAGAUCUCUGGAGAGGAGACAGAUGUUCAAAGACAAAUUUCAGGGCAGGGAGGGUAGGUGAGAGGCCCGUGGGCAGAGUGAGAAGAGCAGCCUCAUUCACACAACGAAUGUAUGGUCGCUCAUCUGGCAUGCUUAAGACAGACCUGAAAGAAUGUGCCAUCACCACAACAACUGGAGGCAAGAGAAGACAUCAACUCCAGAGCCCAUUGGUGUUAAAGAGCAGUGAUUAAAUCAUUCAGUGUGAAGUAUGAGCCUCAAGUCAAAUUCUGCCAGUGGAACUGAUGAGAGGUGGCGAAUGACUCAAAUGGAGGAGAAGAGAGAUUUGCAAGCUGGAGUGGGUUCGUGGAAAGGACUUCAUGUGCGUCCAGAUCAAGAAGCAAAAUGAAAAGAAUGAAAUUCUUGGACGGUUCGGUUUACAAGUUAAAACCUACAACUUACCCCUAGAGGGCGCUCUUCACUUUGUUAUCUCUCAGAAGCCUUGCCUGGCAAUGGCUGCCAUUCAAAUGGAAAACGUCGCACUUAAUGUUUGUGAAUUGUGUAAGAAUAAUCAGAAGAACCCCACAAUGCUGGGCAGAUUUUUUACCCCUAACGCUUCUGUUGGUUGUGAUGUAAAGUCCUUGACUGAAUCAAAUGUAAACUGUAAGGAUUCAGCAAAUCCAGGUUGCCUGUGCAAAUAUCCGUAACAUGUAAUUCACUAUCAACAUUUUUAUUCUCAUUAAACAGACAAAGCACACAAUUAAGAAACUUUAUGCUUCUCUCAUGUUUUCACUUUCAUAGAAGCGAUUUUGCAUAUUGAUCACUUUCAUACCAUAUCUUUGUGAGAGGUUUUAUAGCACAAAGUCAAAUAGUUCAUUGGUUUCUUUCUUCUUCUUCUUUUUUUUUUUCCCCCAGAAUGAUAA